rnacentral:lncRNA from 1 species
AACUUUUCAGCUUCUUUUUGGCCCCCCCUUCUUCCAGAUUUCCUCAGCCAAGAGGGCUUCUUUUUGUACCCUCAGGUUGAUCGGUCCUCGUUCGUUCUUUUCUUUUCUUUUCUUUUCCUAGAUUGACCAAAAGAGGCUGCUUUUUUCUUCUGUUCCUCUUUCUUUCAGAAUUCCUUCCUCUGUUUCUACUUUCUAUUGUUCUGUUCACAGCCAAUUGGGCUUUUGCCAAUCUGCCCCUUUUGUACUGCAUCUUUUUCUUGCUUCUUUGCCACCUCACGAAGCUACUUCGUUUGUUAUCCUCUGGCUUUUAGUUGAAGCUUUGGGUUUGCUUUACAGAGAAGGCAUGGCUGCAGCCAUGGAUGUUUACAGCAGCAUGCCAGGUUCCUCAUCAUCAGAUCCUCUGAUGGAAGCACUUGACCCUUUUAUUAAAGGUGCUCCCACCUCCUGUUACCCCUCUUCCUCAAGCUUUGCCUCCUCUGAGUCUUUCUGUUAUCCUUCUUCCUCCCCUGUUUCUCCUUUCUCCCCUUAUCUUCACCAAGAUCCCAGUUUUGAUCCCUCCUUGCUCUCAGAAUCCAGUUACGAAAUGCCUCCGCAACAUUUGUUGAAUCAGAAAGAUGACUUCUUGGGCUGCUUGAGCUCGGUUGGGUUCAGUUAUCUCUUCCCUGCUCAUAUCCAGCAAAUCCGAGCUCAAUUCCAAUACCAACAGCAGCUUAUGGCAGCAGCCUCCGAGCGCCGGAACCUGGGUAACGCAGAUCCGCUUGCUGCCCGGCGUCGGCCCAUGAAGCACGCCGGGUCGCCACCCUCGCCUCCGAAGCCCACGAAGCU